GACGAACGCUGGCGGCGUGCUUAACACAUGCAAGUCGAACGGAAAGGCCCUGCUUUUGUGGGGUGCUCGAGUGGCGAACGGGUGAGUAACACGUGAGUAACCUGCCCUUGACUUUGGGAUAACUUCAGGAAACUAGGGCUAAUACCGGAUAGGAGCUCCUGCUGCAUGGUGGGGGUUGGAAAGUUUCGGCGGUUGGGGAUGGACUCGCGGCUUAUCAGCUUGUUGGUGGGGUUGUGGCUUACCAAGGCUUUGACGGGUAGCCGGCAUGGGGGGGUGACCGGCCAAGUUGGGAUUGAGAGAAGAGCCGGAGUGCGGGGGGAGGAAGCGGUGGGGAAGUUUGAAAAGUGGGGGAAGGUAGGGAGCAGCAACGCCGGGGGGGGGAGGGCGGCUUGCGGUUGGUAACCCGUUUUCGCCUGUGAAGAAGGGGGGGUGACGUUAAGGGGUAAAGAAGCCCCGGCUAACUACGUG
rnacentral:rRNA from 1 species